UCCUAUGUGGUCUAGUAGUUAGGACUCGUGGGUUUCAUCCAUGCGGCCUGAGUUCGAUACCUAACAUGAGAA
rnacentral:tRNA from 1 species